rnacentral:rRNA from 1 species
CGGAUAGAGCCAGCGAAGUCGCUCGUAUUCAGCCAAAGGCCGGUGGCAUCGGUGGGUCGGGUUGCUAAUCACGCCUGGCCAGCCUUUUGUCCACCGGUUGAGGUGCAUUUGCGGGCGUUUGCGCUGAGACUUGCGAGUCAGCUUCUGGACCCGGGCCUAGAGGCCGUCCUCUGGGCGGAACCUUGGCACGGCGACGGUUGUUUGGCCUGCUCGUACCACGGCUUGGCCUACGGACCUGGGCGGCUGGUGUCGUCUGCUUGUGGUGGCAUCGCAUGCGAUGACCCACCUGUGGGCGGCUCAGUCGUUUGGCGUUCCCAAGUCGGCUCUCGGUGUAAAAGCUGGUCACCUAUCCGACCCGUCUUGAAACACGGACCAAGGAGUUUAGCGUAUGCGCGAGCCAUUGGGUGUUGAAAACUCACAGGCACAAUGAAAGUGAAGGCCCAGCCGCUGGGCUGACAUGCGAGUUGGCGGCUCACGGGCCGUCGAUGCAGCAUGGUCCCAUUUCGGUCGCUUGCGACGGAGUGGAGACAGAGCGUAUGCGCUGAG